AUACUCGUAUAAAACCCUUAUCCAAUUUUCCUCAGCCUACCGAAUUUGCAUUCGUCGCCCUCAUAAGAUUGAAGCUCGAUUCGGACGGAAAUCACGCGUUCAACAAGCUUGUAUUUGUUUUUGUAGACUAUGGAUCCCAACGCAACGGCGGCGGCGGUGAUCGGAGGCGGUGGGAAUGGAAUAAUGACAUCGCAAUCAACAGACGCAUCACCGGCGGAUUCUUCCGCAACCACUGCAGCAACACCUAUUGACGAUUCUAAGCAAAACUUGACUCAAGUAAUAAAUUCGAUCCAGAAGACGCUCGGCAUCCUCCACCAGCUCUACCUUACCGUCUCCUCCUACAACGUCGCCUCCCAACUUCCUCUCCUCCAGCGCAUGAACAAUUUGGUUAUGGAACUGGAUAACAUGACAAGAUUAGCUGAGAAGUGUAACAUUCAGAUUCCCAUGGAGGUUCUCAAUUUGAUAGAUGAUGGAAAGAAUCCUGAUCAAUUCACGCGAGAUAUGUUGAAUGGUUGCAUUGCAAAGAACCAGAUUACCAAAGGGAAAACAGAUUCUUUCAAGGCCUUGCGAAGGCAUCUGCUUGAGGAUCUGGAGCAGACAUUUCCUGAUGAAGUUGAAUCUUAUAGGGACAUACGAGCAGCAUCUGCAGCUGAUACAAGACGAUUUCCGCAGCCGCAAAAUAUGCUUCCAAAUGGAGAUGUGAAAGUUAAACCAGACAUACGCUAAUAUGGGUUUAGGUUGAUGUUGAGCGGAAGAGUCUUAGGUUUCUUCGAUCUUUAUUGUCCAUUAGUUCUCAACAGCUGAAUUGCUACCCCUACUGUGACAUAUGAUUGGCCCAAUUCAUCUAUGAAGAGAUCUUUUAAACUUCUGAUCGAGCGAGCGCAAUAGACUACAAAUUAUGUCGGCAAGGUAAGACUUGUUUUGUGUGGCAAAGCAAAAUUUAGAGGGUGCUCGACAAGUUUCGAAUUUGUGACAUGGAGGUGCCCUUUAUCAAGAGAUUUGGUUUCGCCUAGUAUCAUUUAUUUUACUGGUUUAGUUUGCAUGUUAUUAGGUUGUCGGACAUUUGAGGAGUAAUUUGCCUCCAAAGACUUUUAAAUAUACAGUGACCAAAUAUUUACUAGAAAUUUUAAGAGAAAAAGAUGUGUUUGA